CCUACGGGGGGCAGCAGUGGGGAAUAUUGGACAAUGGGCGCAAGCCUGAUCCAGCAAUUCCGCGUGGGUGAAGAAGGUCUUCGGAUUGUAAAGCCCUUUCGUUGGGGACGAUGAUGACGGUACCCAAAGAAGAAGCCCCGGCUAACUUCGUGCCAGCAGCCGCGGUAAUACGAAGGGGGCUAGCGUUGCUCGGAAUGACUGGGCGUAAAGGGCGCGUAGGCGGCAUGACUAGUCAGGCGUGAAAUUCCCGGGCUUAACCUGGGGACUGCGUUUGAUACGGUUAGGCUAGAGGAUGGAAGAGGCUCGUGGAAUUCCCAGUGUAGAGGUGAAAUUCGUAGAUAUUGGGAAGAACACCGGUGGCGAAGGCGGCGAGCUGGUCCAUUACUGACGCUGAGGCGCGAAAGCGUGGGGAGCAAACAGGAUUAGAUACCCAAGUAGUC
rnacentral:rRNA from 1 species